rnacentral:rRNA from 1 species
UACGUAGGGGGCAAGCGUUGUCCGGAUUUAUUGGGCGUAAAGAGCGUGUAGGCGGCCAGGUAGGUCCGUUGUGAAAACUCGAGGCUCAACCUCGAGACGCCGGUGGAAACCAUCUAGCUAGAGUCCGGAAGAGGAGAGUGGAAUUCCUGGUGUAGCGGUGAAAUGCGCAGAUAUCAGGAAGAACACCCGUGGCGAAGGCGGCUCUCUGGUACGUGACUGACGCUGAGACGCGAAAGCGUGGGGAGCGAACAGG